rnacentral:rRNA from 1 species
UACGUAGGGUGCGAGCGUUAAUCGGAUUUACGGGGCGUAAAGCGUGCGCAGGCGGCCCGUUAAGACAGGUGUGAAAUCCCUGGGCUCAACCUAGGAAUUGCGCUUGUGACUGGCGGGCUCGAGUACGGUAGAGGGGGGUGGAAUUCCUGGUGUAGCAGUGAAAUGCGUAGAGAUCAGGAGGAACACCGAUGGCGAAGGCAGCCCCCUGGGCCUGUACUGACGCUCAUGCACGAACGCGUGGGGAGCAAACAGG